CCAAUAGCGUAUAUUAAAGUUGUUGCAGUUAAAAAGCUCGUAGUUGAAUUUCGGGGUCAGUAGGUUGGUCGUGCCACAGGUAUGAACUGGCCUCACUGAUUCCUCCUUCCUGAUGAACCGUAAUGCCAUUAAUUUGGUGUUGCGGGGAGACUGGACUGUUACUUUGAAAAAAUUAGAGUGUUUAAAGCAGGCUAACGCUUGAAUACAUUAGCAUGGAAUAAUGAAAUAGGACGUUCGGUCUUAUUUUGUUGGUUUCUAAGAUUGACGUAAUGAUUAAUAGGGAUAGUUGGGGGCAUUAGUAUUCAAUUGUCAGAGGUGAAAUUCUUGGAUUUAUUGAAGACUAACUACUGCGAAAGCAUUUGCCAAGGAUGUUUUCAUUAAUCAAGAACGAAAGUUAGGGGAUCGAAGACGAUCAGAUACCGUCGUAGUCUUAACCAUAAACUAUGCCGACUAGGGAUCGGAUGAUGUUAAUUUUUUAAUGACUCAUUCGGCGCCUUACG
rnacentral:rRNA from 1 species